AUACCAAGUUUCACUGCAGACAAGCACAUGCUCCAGGCACCGAUACAUCAAGUUUGACAUUUUCUUAUAGUGGUACCGUUCUUGCCAGUCGGGGAGGUGAUGAUACCUUAAAAACCUGGGACAUCAGACAGUUUAAAGCACCUCUUAAUUCUAUCAGUGGCUUACCAAGUUUCUUCCCCAUGACCGACUGUUGCUUUAGCCCAGAUGAUCAAUUACUUGUUACUGGCACUUCUGUUAAGAAAGGACAUGGCAAUGCAAAACUUCUCUUUUUUGAUCGUGAAACGUUUAAAAAAAUGUAUGAGAUUGAUGUCACUGAUGCGGUAAGCCAAAGUUCAG